GACGAACGCUGGCGGCGUGCUUAACACAUGCAAGUCGAACGGAAAGGCCCUGCUUUUGUGGGGUGCUCGAGUGGCGAACGGGUGAGUAACACGUGAGUAACCUUCCCUUUACUUUGGGAUAACUUCAGGAAACUGGGGCUAAUACCGGAUAGGAGCUCCUGCUGCAUGGUGGGGUUUGGAAAGUUUCGGCGGUUGGGGAUGGACUCGCGGCUUAUCAGCUUGUUGGUGGGGUAGUGGCUUACCAAGGCUUUGACGGGUAGCCGGCCUGAGAGGGUGACCGGCCACAUUGGGACUGAGAUACGGCCCAGACUCCUACGGGAGGCAGCAGUGGGGAAUAUUGCACAAUGGGCGGAAGCCUGAUGCAGCAACGCCGCGUGCGGGAUGACGGCCUUCGGGUUGUAAACCGCUUUCGCCUGUGACGAAGCGUGAGUGACGGUAAUGGGUAAAGAAGCACCGGCUAACUACGUG
rnacentral:rRNA from 1 species